rnacentral:rRNA from 1 species
GUGAACGCUGGCGGUAGGCCUAACACAUGCAAGUCGCACGGCAGCACAGUAAGAGCUUGCUCUUACGGGUGGCGAGUGGCGGACGGGUGAGGAAUACAUCGGAAUCUACUUUUUCGUGGGGGAUAACGUAGGGAAACUUACGCUAAUACCGCAUACGACCUACGGGUGAAAGCAGGGGAUCUUCGGACCUUGCGCGAUUGAAUGAGCCGAUGUCGGAUUAGCUCGUUGGCGGGGUAAAGGCCCACCAAGGCGACGAUCCGUAGCUGGUCUGAGAGGAUGAUCAGCCACACUGGAACUGAGACACGGUCCAGACUCCUACGGGAGGCAGCAGUGGGGAAUAUUGGACAAUGGGCGCAAGCCUGAUCCAGCCAUACCGCGUGGGUGAAGAAGGCCUUCGGGUUGUAAAGCCCUUUUGUUGGGAAAGAAAAGCAGCAGGUUAAUACCCCGCUGUUCUGACGGUACCCAAAGAAUAAGCACCGGCUAACUUCGUG